UACGGGGGGGGCAAGCGUUGUUCGGAAUUACUGGGCGUAAAGGGCUCGUAGGCGGCCAACUAAGUCAGACGUGAAAUCCCUCGGCUUAACCGGGGAACUGCGUCUGAUACUGGAUGGCUUGAGUUUGGGAGAGGGAUGCGGAAUUCCAGGUGUAGCGGUGAAAUGCGUAGAUAUCUGGAGGAACACCGGUGGCGAAGGCGGCAUCCUGGACCAACACUGACGCCGAGGCGCGAAAGCCAGGGGAGCAAACGGG
rnacentral:rRNA from 1 species